rnacentral:rRNA from 1 species
CGCGUAGGCGGCAAGGCAAGUGGAAGGUGAAAUCCCCGGGCUCAACCUGGGAACUGCCCUCCAAACUGCUUUGCUUGAGUCCGGGAGAGGUGAGUGGAAUUCCCAGUGUAGCGGUGAAAUGCGUAGAUAUUGGGAGGAACACCAGUGGCGAAGGCGGCUCACUGGACCGGAACUGACGCUGAGGCGCGAAAGCGUGGGGAGCAAACA